rnacentral:lncRNA from 1 species
UCUCAAAUUCUGAUCGCCAUUCUCUUCUUUCUUCUUUGCACCUUCGCAUAUUGAAUUGCGCCGGAGGACUGUGAAAAGUCAAGAAAAGAAAAAAGAAAAGAAUAAUUAACUCAUUAACGAUAAUGAAAGAAUCAUUAUGAAUCUGGUAGAUUGAAGAUUUCAGACAUCUUUGUGCUAGAUUUCAGAUUAAUCCGCGGAGGGAAAUACAAGAUUUUGCUAGGUUUUGCCCAUAGGAAAGUAGCAA